AACGAACGCUGGCGGCGUGCCUAACACAUGCAAGUCGAACGAGAAAGGGGCUUCGGCUCCGAGUAAAGUGGCGCACGGGUGAGUAACACGUGGGUAACCUGCCUCUAAGAUUGGGAUAACUCGUCGAAAGAUGAGCUAAUACCGAAUAAGACCACAGUUCCCGCGGGAACAGGGGUCAAAGGUAGCCUCUGCUUGCAAGCUAUCACUUAGAGAUGGGCCUGCGCACCAUUAGCUAGUUGGUAGGGUAACGGCCUACCAAGGCAAAGAUGGUUAGCUGGUCUGAGAGGAUGAUCAGCCACACUGGAACUGAGACACGGUCCAGACUCCUACGGGAGGCAGCAGUGGGGAAUAUUGCGCAAGGGGCGAAAGCUUGACGCAGCAACGCCGCGUGAGGGAUGAAGGCCUUCGGGUCGUAAAGCUCUGUCGGGAGGAACGAAUGCUCCUGAGGUUAACAGCCUCGGGAGGUGACGGUACCUUCAAAGGAAGCACCGGCUAACUCUGUG
rnacentral:rRNA from 1 species